rnacentral:rRNA from 1 species
GUGGGGAAUAUUGGACAAUGGGCGAAAGCCUGAUCCAGCCAUGCCGCGUGUGUGAAGAAGGUCUUCGGAUUGUAAAGCACUUUAAGUUGGGAGGAAGGGCAUUAACCUAAUACGUUAGUGUUUUGACGUUACCGACAGAAUAAGCACCGGCUAACUUCGUGCCAGCAGCCGCGGUAAUACGAAGGGUGCAAGCGUUAAUCGGAAUUACUGGGCGUAAAGCGCGCGUAGGUGGUUUUGUAAGUUGGAGGUGAAAUCCCCGGACUCAACCUGGGAACUGCCUCCAAAACUGCAUGACUAGAGUACGGUAGAGGGUAGUGGAAUUUCCUGUGUAGCGGUGAAAUGCGUAGAUAUAGGAAGGAACACCAGUGGCGAAGGCGACUACCUGGACUGAUACUGACACUGAGGUGCGAAAGCGUGGGGAGCAAACAGGAUUAGAAACCCGAGUAGUCC